AACCAGUUGUAAACUAUAGCAAGCAAUCCUGCGGGCGGCUUCGGCUGCUCGUGGGUAACAUGGAUAACCCUGGUAAUUCUGAGGCUAAUACAAGAACGUACUUCCUGGCUGACCGGCAACGGAAGGCUGGGGAGCGUGCAACGUAUCGUAGGGAUAAACCGGGAAUGGGUGCACGCUUGGACCGCGCUAAAGACAGAUCUCGGCGAGCCUUCGGGUGAGCCUUGGCCUGAGCGGCUCUUGCUGUGUGCUUCUGACCUAUCAACUAGACGGCAGCGUAAGGGACAUGCUAUGGUUACAACGGGUACAGAGGAUUAGGGUUCGAUCCUGGAGAGUGGGCCUGAGAGAUU
rnacentral:rRNA from 1 species